UAAAGCCCAAAGUAAUAUAGAACCCAGCAAGAGUAACCAAAUCGACAGCCAUUCCCGUGAUAUGCAGCCAUUCAACUAAGCCACAUCUGAAUCAUGGCGGAGGAGGAGACCGGAUUCUGAGACCGGAGACUAGAGCAUCUGUUUCGGAUAGUGAGAUUGAGAGUUGAUAAGAGAGAUUGUGGAGACCUGUAGCAUCACCGGUGAAGCCUCGCGUUCCGUUCAGUCCAAAGGAGGUAGAUGACUCCUUGCCAAGCGAUCAGAAGAAGUUUCUUCUGCGGUUUAGGCAAUCGCACAGUGAUGAGGUAGUUUAUCAUUCCCUGAUAGUCCCUAGGAGUUGUAACUUGACAUCUUCUAGCUGUUGGUGACCAUACUUCCCAGCUGAAUGGACAUUCAAAUAGGAGAUGGUCUCGCGAUUCUGGCGCAGCAUUGCAGAGGAGGCAAGCCGGGUCCGUGACUAGUCCCCAAUUAAGAAGGCGAUCCCUAGUUGGAGAUCGGUUGAGGACGAAGAGCCAUGAGAGAAAGUUGUGCUUCAGAAUCCCACCUUUACACCAAAAGAUCUCAAACCAAGGAACUGGAGUGGAGUGGUUUUUCAAUUCCCUGUAGACAGCACCAGCGUUGUAUUUGUUCCAGUGCUCCCCAUGCAUUAUCCAUUCAUAGGAGUCUUCUUCUUCACUCAACCGUACACUAGUGAGGCACACCCAUUCGUCUAGCUAUCGCUGGGGAUAGGAAUGUUUCUAAACUACCAAAAGGUGUCCAAUUGUCUGUCCCGAAACGUGUGGUCGCCCCGUUGCCUAUUUUAAUCUUCACCCAAGCAUAAGCAGUAUCUUUGAUUCUCAGUAGCUUAUUUGCAAACCAUGAAUGUUUCUGAUUCGGUUUCUUGGUCCAGAAACUGCUCAGAGAGUCAUUCAGUACUUUCUUCUUAUACCAUGCUACCCAUAGAGAACCGGAGUUGCAAAACAGGAUCCAGAUUAGCUUGAGAGUACACGCCUUAUUCCAAGCAACAAGAUCUCUGCAGCCCAGUCCUCCUUCCUUUUUCUCCAAGGCUUUUGGGAGUACAAACGUUGCGCACCAGAAGUUCGUGAUACCUGCUAUUACUGUGUUUACCAGAAGGAGUCUUCCAGCGAAUGAAAGUGAUUGAGCACUCCAGGAAUUGACUUUGCUUUUGACUUGAGCAAGGAGUGGUUCACAGUUCAGCAGUAUGAGUUUUUUAGAGUUCAACGGUACUCCUAGAUAGCGUAUAGGUAGCGACCCAUGGCUAAGACCUGUAGAAGUAGUGAUGGUGGUGAUCUCAUAGGGAGUUAGGCUUGAGGAGUAGAAAGCUGUUUUUUGGAUGCUUACUGCUAGCCCUGAUUUGACUUUGAAUUCUUCUAGGAUCUCCAAUACUCCAGUCACCGAACUCUCUGUCCCAUCCGUGAAGAUAAGAAGAUCGUCUGCGAAGCACAAAUGUGUUAAUUUGGAGGCAGCACAUUUAUCAUGAUUUGUGAUAGUCAUCCACUAGUUCGGAAAUACAAAGUAUUGCUUACAACACAAACUGUCAUAGAAAUAUUGUUUUUCACGUGCUAUAUAGGCUGUUGCACCGAUUACAAAUCUCAUGCACGUGUGUAUUUUUAAUUGCUACACUAAAGAACUGCCCAGCCGUAGUUUAAAAUAUAACCAAAAGGUUUGGACAGCAAUUUGAAUUCGAUUUUGAAUUUAAUUGUAUUAUUUUAU